rnacentral:tRNA from 2 species
GGGGCUGUAGCUCAGUUGGGAGAGCGCUUGAAUGGCAUUCAAGAGGUCGUCGGUUCGAUUCCGUCCAGCUCCACCA